rnacentral:rRNA from 1 species
UACGGAGGGGGCUAGCGUUGCUCGGAAUCACUGGGCGUAAAGGGCGCGUAGGCGGCCGAUUAAGUCGGGGGUGAAAGCCUGUGGCUCAACCACAGAAUUGCCUUCGAUACUGGUUGGCUUGAGACCGGAAGAGGACAGCGGAACUGCGAGUGUAGAGGUGAAAUUCGUAGAUAUUCGCAAGAACACCAGUGGCGAAGGCGGCUGUCUGGUCCGGUUCUGACGCUGAGGCGCGAAAGCGUGGGGAGCAAACAGG